rnacentral:rRNA from 1 species
ACCUGCCCAGAAGCGGGGGAUAACACCUGGAAACAGAUGCUAAUACCGCAUAACAACUUGGACCGCAUGGUCCGAGCUUGAAAGAUGGCUUCGGCUAUCACUUUUGGAUGGUCCCGCGGCGUAUUAGCUAGAUGGUGGGGUAACGGCUCACCAUGGCAAUGAUACGUAGCCGACCUGAGAGGGUAAUCGGCCACAUUGGGACUGAGACACGGCCCAAACUCCUACGGGAGGCAGCAGUAGGGAAUCUUCCACAAUGGACGAAAGUCUGAUGGAGCAACGCCGCGUGAGUGAAGAAGGGUUUCGGCUCGUAAAACUCUGUUGUUAAAGAAGAACAUAUCUGAGAGUAACUGUUCAGGUAUUGACGGUAUUUAACCAGAAAGCCACGGCUAACUACGUGCCAGCAGCCGCGGUAAUACGUAGG